rnacentral:rRNA from 1 species
ACUAAGCGUACACGGUGGAUGCCCUGGCAGUCAGAGGCGAUGAAGGGCGUGCUAAUCUGCGAUAAGCGCCGGUAAGGUGAUAUGAACCGUUAUAACCGGCGAUACCCGAAUGGGGAAACCCAGUGUGACUCGUCACACUAUCAUUAACUGAAUCCAUAGGUUAAUGAGGCGAACCGGGGGAACUGAAACAUCUAAGUACCCCGAGGAAAAGAAAUCAACCGAGAUUCCCCCAGUAGCGGCGAGCGAACGGGGAGGAGCCCAGAGCCUGAAUCAGCAUGUGUGUUAGUGGAAGCGUCUGGAAAGGCGCGCGAUACAGGGUGACAGCCCCGUACACAAAAGCGCAUGUGCUGUGAGCUCGAUGAGUAGGGCGGGACACGUGGUAUCCUGUCUGAAUAUGGGGGGACCAUCCUCCAAGGCUAAAUACUCCUGACUGACCGAUAGUGAACCAGUACCGUGAGGGAAAGGCGAAAAGAACCCCGGCGAGGGGAGUGAAAAAGAACCUGAAACCGUGUACGUACAAGCAGUGGGAGCACAGGUUUACCUGUGUGACUGCGUACCUUUUGUAUAAUGGGUCAGCGACUUAUAUUCUGUAGCAAGGUUAACCGUAUAGGGGAGCCGUAGGGAAACCGAGUCUUAACCGGGCGUUAAGUUGCAGGGUAUAGACCCGAAACCCGGUGAUCUAGCCAUGGGCAGGUUGAAGGUUGGGUAACACUAACUGGAGGACCGAACCGACUAAUGUUGAAAAAUUAGCGGAUGACCUGUGGCUGGGGGUGAAAGGCCAAUCAAACCGGGAGAUAGCUGGUUCUCCCCGAAAGCUAUUUAGGUAGCGCCUCGUGAAUUCAUCUCCGGGGGUAGAGCACUGUUUCGGCUAGGGGGCCAUCCCGGCUUACCAACCCGAUGCAAACUGCGAAUACCGGAGAAUGUUAUCACGGGAGACACACGGCGGGUGCUAACGUCCGUCGUGAAGAGGGAAACAACCCAGACCGCCAGCUAAGGUCCCAAAGUCAUGGUUAAGUGGGAAACGAUGUGGGAAGGGACAGCCAGGAUGUUGGCUUAGAAGCAGCCAUCAUUUAAAGCGUAAUAUCACUGGUCGAGUCGGCCUGCGGAAGAGUAACGGGGCUCAUGCACCGAUGCAGCGAGCGACGCUGAUGCGUUGUUGGGUAGGGGAGCGUUCUGUAAGCCUGCGAAGGUGACCUGUGAGGGUUGCUGGAGGUAUCAGAAGUGCGAAUGCUGACAUAAGUAACGAUCGGGUGCCCGCUCGCCGGACCAAGGGUUCCUGUCCAACUAAUCGGGGCAGGGUGUCGACCCCUAGGCGAGGCCGAAAGGCUAGGAUAACGGGUUAAUAUUCCCGUACUUGGUGUUACUGCGAAGGGGGGACGGAGAAGGCUAUGUUGGCCGGGCGACGGUUGUCCCGGUUUAAGCGUGUAGGUGUGUGUUCCAGGUAAAUCCGGUUCACUUUAACACUGAGGCGUGACGACGAGGCACUACGGUGCUGAAGCAACAAAUGCCCUGCUUCCAGGAAAAGCCUCUAAGCAUCAGGUAACACGAAAUCGUACCCCAAACCGACACAGGUGGUCAGGUAGAGAAUACCAAGGCGCUUGAGAGAACUCGGGUGAAGGAACUAGGCAAAAUGGUGCCGUAACUUCGGGAGAAGGCACGCUGACACGUAGGUGAAGUGAUUUACUCAUGGAGCUGAAGUCAGUCGAAGAUACCAGCUGGCUGCAACUGUUUAUUAAAAACACAGCACUGUGCAAACACGAAAGUGGACGUAUACGGUGUGACGCCUGCCCGGUGCCGGAAGGUUAAUUGAUGGGGUCAGCGCAAGCGAAGCUCCUGAUCGAAGCCCCGGUAAACGGCGGCCGUAACUAUAACGGUCCUAAGGUAGCGAAAUUCCUUGUCGGGUAAGUUCCGACCUGCACGAAUGGCGUAAUGAUGGCCAGGCUGUCUCCACCCGAGACUCAGUGAAAUUGAACUCGCUGUGAAGAUGCAGUGUACCCGCGGCAAGACGGAAAGACCCCGUGAACCUUUACUAUAGCUUGACACUGAACAUUGAGCCUUGAUGUGUAGGAUAGGUGGGAGGCUUUGAAGUGUGGACGCCAGUCUGCAUGGAGCCGACCUUGAAAUACCACCCUUUAAUGUUUGAUGUUCUAACGUGGACCCGUAAUCCGGGUUGCGGACAGUGUCUGGUGGGUAGUUUGACUGGGGCGGUCUCCUCCUAAAGAGUAACGGAGGAGCACGAAGGUUGGCUAAUCCUGGUCGGACAUCAGGAGGUUAGUGCAAUGGCAUAAGCCAGCUUGACUGCGAGCGUGACGGCGCGAGCAGGUGCGAAAGCAGGUCAUAGUGAUCCGGUGGUUCUGAAUGGAAGGGCCAUCGCUCAACGGAUAAAAGGUACUCCGGGGAUAACAGGCUGAUACCGCCCAAGAGUUCAUAUCGACGGCGGUGUUUGGCACCUCGAUGUCGGCUCAUCACAUCCUGGGGCUGAAGUAGGUCCCAAGGGUAUGGCUGUUCGCCAUUUAAAGUGGUACGCGAGCUGGGUUUAGAACGUCGUGAGACAGUUCGGUCCCUAUCUGCCGUGGGCGCUGGAGAACUGAGGGGGGCUGCUCCUAGUACGAGAGGACCGGAGCAAGAGCAGCCAACGCCGUAUCAGUGUAAAAGACACAGGACGGAGCACAAAGAAUUUGCCUGGCGGCACUAGCGCGGUGGUCCCACCUGACCCCAUGCCGAACUCAGAAGUGAAACGCCGUAGCGCCGAUGGUAGUGUGGGGUCUCCCCAUGCGAGAGUAGGGAACUGCCAGGCAUCAAAUUAGAAGUAUGGCAUUAACUU